GAUGAACGCUGGCGGCGUGCUUAACACAUGCAAGUCGAACGAAGCACCUCUCCCGAAGAUUGACACAGCUUGCUGUAGAUUGAUUCAUUUGAGGUGACUGAGUGGCGGACGGGUGAGUAACGCGUGGGUAACCUGCCUCAUAGAGGGGGACAACAGUUGGAAACGACUGCUAAUACCGCAUAGUAAGAAGAAUUCGCAUGUUUUCUUCUUGAAAGAUUUAUCGCUAUGAGAUGGACCCGCGUCUGAUUAGCUAGUUGGUAAGGUAACGGCUUACCAAGGCGACGAUCAGUAGCCGGCUUGAGAGAGUGAACGGCCACAUUGGGACUGAGACACGGCCCAAACUCCUACGGGAGGCAGCAGUGGGGAAUAUUGCACAAUGGGGGAAACCCUGAUGCAGCGACGCCGCGUGAGUGAAGAAGUAUUUCGGGAUGUAAAGCUCUAUCAGCAGGGAAGAUAAUGACGGUACCUGACUAAGAAGCCCCGGCUAACUACGUG
rnacentral:rRNA from 1 species